AGCCCUAUUACACAUCCCGAGAUCCACUGUCUCCCUCGCCUGUCUCCUCACUGGGUAUGGAGAGACUUCUGCUUUCAGCCAUUCUUCCAUGUAACAAGCAUGUACUAUCAUCCAUCAAAAUGUGUCAGGCACAGACUUGGGCACUGGAAACACAGUAAAUAGAAGUAAAAAUGUUGAGCCGGAAAUGUAGCUCAGCUGGGGCAAUGCGUGCCUAGCGUGCAGGAAGCCCUGUAUUUAACCCCCAACUCUAUAAACCGGGUGUGGUGUGGUAUGCCUGUGAUCCCAACACAGGAAGUGGCAACAGGAGGAUCCAGAGUUCAAAGUCAGCCUUGGAUACAUAUGCAGGUCUUGGCCAAGCUGGGUUAUAUAGGAGGCCCCGUCUCAAAAAAACCCAACCAACCCUGCCCUCCUGUAACCAUCCAGGAGAGUGUGAUGCAGCCUGAACCUCUCUAUACUCAGCCUCGGAGAACCUCUGUCCUCUUGGGAAUGUGAUGGCCUGCGAUUGGUUGGCUGGUUCCCCAGAACACACAGGAAUUCUUUAGCUCCUAGAAUCUUCUCAUGUCAUCAUUCGAUAUUUGUACUCAGCCUAGAAAUGUCUCAGCCUGCUCAUCCCAGAGAUUCAGGUGACAAAAAUCAAGACCCCGAGGAAGGGUGUUUGUUUUGUGGUUUGACAAAAAUUAGCCAGCCCUUAUUCCAGUCAGUUCCUUCUGGUAGCCAUGGGGCUAACUAUAUGAAGGAAGAUAGCUCGUGGAAGGGAGAGCAGAGGCCACCACUGGAAACACUUGUAGAGUCCCUCACCCCACCACACACACACACACCAGAGGAGGCUAAACGAGAUGAGGGCAUGUCUCCUGUGCUGUAAUGGAGUGGGCAGCGAGCCGGUGUGUGCAGUAUAGUCAGUGAGUGACGCGACACUGGAAUGAGGUUUAGAACGAGGUUUGUAAGUCCCAGCCUCAUCUCUUCCCUGUGAUCCUGACAGGUGCAUCCUGGGACAAGGUGGCGAUUAGGACUCCAGGUCCUUCUCAGCUCGAAUCUGUUGAGCAUCCCUUGGUCUUCUUAUAUAUACAUGUUUUUCUGUUUAUUCCUUUAAGAACUAAUCCUGCUCAAGAGCGUUUUCUUUAGCUAGCUUAAAAAUAUCUCCUGUAAAAACAUACAUGUUGCCAAGUGCAAUGUUGAGAAGACAAUCACUGUAUGGCUUUUAUAAAUUUGUUUUUCCUGCUCUGGAGUGUCAUUCCACCAUGACAGUUGGAAUAUUCUGGUGGGUCUUUUAGUAGGGAUUGGUUACUAUGCGUUGUCAUGGGGAAGAGACAUUUUUUAUCACAGCUACCUCCAUGGGAAUGACUUCAUGGAUAAAGCAAGGUUUCCUUUCAAUAAACUGUCACUUGACAGG
rnacentral:lncRNA from 1 species